rnacentral:rRNA from 1 species
UUCCUACGGGGGGCAGCAGUGGGGAAUAUUGGACAAUGGGCGGGACCCUGAUCCAGCGACGCCGCGUGAGUGAAGAAGUAUUUCGGUAUGUAAAUCUCUAUCAGCAGGGAAGAAAGAAAUGACGGUACCUGACUAAGCAGCCCCGGCUAACUACGUGCCAGCAGCCUCGGUAAUACGUAGGGGGCAAUCGUUAUCCGGAUUUCCUGGGUGUACAGGUAGCGUGGACGGCGAUGCAGGUCUUAAGUGAAAGGC